UACGGGGGGGUAAGCGUUGUUCGGAAUUACUGGGCGUAAAGGGCUCGUAGGCGGCCAACUAAGUCAGACGUGAAAUCCCUCAGCUUAACUGGGGAACUGCGUCUGAUACUGGAUGGCUUGGAUCCGGGAGAGGGAUGCGGAAUUCCAGGUGUAGCGGUGAAAUGCGUAGAUAUCUGAGAACACCGGUGGCGAAGGCGGCAUCUGGACCGGUAUUGACGCUGAGGAGCGGAAAGCCAGGGAGCAAGCGGG
rnacentral:rRNA from 1 species